AACUAUUAAAAUAAAUUGAGAACGUAUGUGUGCAUACAUGUAUAAAAAAAUAUAAUUUUUCGUUAAAAGGUGGGUUUAGAUUAAAUUUUAAAUACGUCAUGGCUAUGAAGUGGUUGCUGAUUUAUUAGCCGUCCUAAAUCAUCUUACCAAGAUACGAAUCGUAAAACUUUUUGCGUUGUUAUAAAAAUUUCGUCAUCGCCCAAAUUAUUUAUUUUUAUUACGUAUUUAUAUACGUAAUAUCCGUCUUUUUAUUUGCGGAGGCCUAAAAAAUCGACGGAGAAUUUCUUCAUUGGCCAACGAUAAUAACACAAAUGAGAAAUACCAAUAUAAAGCAGAGAAAAUAAAAUUACUAAAAAAUUAAACAAUAUAAUAGUACUUUCAAAUCAAAAAGUAACAAAUAUGAAUAAUAAUAAAAGGAUGAAACAUGGAGGCUGCAUAAGAGACAUGUUCACGUGGGAUUAGCAAAAGCCUAUAAAAAAUUAAGCUAAAACUCAUGAAACAAAAGAAACACAUCAAAGAAGCAAACAAAGUCGGUUCAAUGGGUCACCUUUUUUUAAAUUUUAUUUGUGUUUUCUUAAUAAUCAAAGUAUCAACACAUGAAUAGGCCAACCCAUCCUAAAAAAUCCCAAAACAAAAAUUAAAAAGAAUCGGGUAGGUCCAACCCAAAACCCGGCCCAUCACAAAUACAUUUAAAGAGAGUGUAGGAUUUCCAAAAUGAGCUAGGAGCAGCUCACAACAAUCCUCACCGCCUCUUCUCCCUUUGCUAUGGCUUUCUUCUUCAAUCUCCAGCUCGACUUGCUUCUUCUUUGGGUGAUAAAUUCUGUUCCUUCGUGUAGCUAUGUUGAAUGCUUCUCCAGCUUCAAGACUGAGAUCUCCGGUACUAAGGUGUAUGAAAAGCUUUUUGGUGCACAAAAAAAGGGGUCUACUCCACUUAGGCCUGGUCAUCAUUUCUAGUGACGUUGCUCCUUCAUUUUUGAUAAAGCUGCUAAGUAUUCUGUAAACUAACAUCUCACUUGUACCAGUUCUGGAAGGGAGGGAGAUAAAGAGAUGCUCGGACCCACUGGUACCUAGAUGAUGCCAAGAACCAAAGCUGCAUGUGUUGACAAUCUGACCAUGGACCUCUGAUCUACUGGGAGACCUUUUUAAUAGCUGGUUACUUAGGCUAAGUAGAAUUUCCUUUUGUUUGUUCUCCAUCUUGUACAGAAAAAUGUGAAAAACUGUACUAGCCUGUCCAGUCUAUAGAAUGAUGUGUACCUGCUAGCCUUAGAUAAGAUGUCUAAUACUUAUCACUGUUUAGUAUCUUUCUAGCUAUGCUAGGCAAUUGAUGAAAUAUUGUAUAUGUGAAAGUAUUGUGCUCCACUACCAUAUUAGAUAAAUAGUCUGCUAGCUGAUUACCCUCUCCGUAUGUAUGAACUAUAUGCACUUGCUUUCUUUCAAUUAAUCUCCAUGUUUUUAUUAUUA